GACGAACGCUGGCGGCGUGCCUAAUACAUGCAAGUAGAACGCUGAAGGAGGAGCUUGCUCUUCUGGAUGAGUUGCGAACGGGUGAGUAACGCGUAGGUAACCUGCCUGGUAGCGGGGGAUAACUAUUGGAAACGAUAGCUAAUACCGCAUAAGAGUAGAUGUUGCAUGACAUUUACUUAAAAGGUGCAAUUGCAUCACUACCAGAUGGACCUGCGUUGUAUUAGCUAGUUGGUGGGGUAACGGCUUACCAAGGCGACGAUACAUAGCCGACCUGAGAGGGUGAUCGGCCACACUGGGACUGAGACACGGCCCAGACUCCUACGGGAGGCAGCAGUAGGGAAUCUUCGGCAAUAGACGGAAGGCUGACCGAGCAACGCCGCGUGAGUGAAGAAGGUUGUCGGAUCGUAAAGCUCUGUUGUAAGAGAAGAACGAGUGUGAGAGUGGAAAGUUCACACUGUGACGGUAUCUUACCAGAAAGGGACGGCUAACUACGUG
rnacentral:rRNA from 1 species